rnacentral:lncRNA from 1 species
UGCACAAAAGUACUGUUUUAAAAGUUUAAAUUAUCUGGAGUCCAAGAACGGAUUAAUCCAUUUUACAUUAAUUCUUAUGGGGAAAAUAGUUUCAGUUUACGAACAUUUCAAUUUAUGAACGACCUUCAGGAACGAAUUAAGUUCUUGACCUGGAUUUGACCACGAUCAUCCAGGAAGAUAAGCCCCUCAGCUUUACCAUCCGGCCGAUUCAUUUAUUAAGAGAAAAUCAAGUAUGCUAAUGCAAUAUUCCAAUAAGUGUUACAUCGAUUUUAUCCACAUGGCAUUUAUGAAAUUUAGAAGAGCGUGUAAAAAUGAAUUACAUUUUCACUUCAUACGCAAUUCCUGACAUUCAACUUAAAAUAAUUCAUAUCUUUCCUAUUUUGUUUAUCUUACUGUUUUUGUAUUUCCCACUAACUACUUUUGAAACAACAAAUUUUCUUAAAUUCUAUUACAGACAACAUAUUUUCAUCCUGCAUAUCAGCCAUGCACAGAUCGCCUUCCUCUGUCGAUUUGUUGGAGGUGGGCCUCACCACUUGUUACUUUAACAAGUCACGCAAUCAAAGAAAUAUUAUUUGUGCUUUUGAACAAUGCAUUUUCAUAUAACAAUGUUUGAUGCGAAAUUAUUUUUAUGAUGGUCUGAUGAAAAUGUUUUUAAACAAUAAGCAAAAAUGAUAAUCGUAUUUCUGUAAUAAUCAACAUGUUUUUAUCUUUACUGUCUUUAUGUGGGCGAAAUAGCUCAUUUAAAAAGUGCACACGCUCAGAAGGUUGCACUGCGCUUAAAUAAUGACAAUCUACAACCAGUUUUGCAUUUAGCUACCAUCGGUAUCGAACCUAAUAAGGAAAAAAAUUGUUAGAUCAAUACUGUGCCACGCAUCCAAUUAAAAAUUCCUUGUUUUCUUUACGUUUCUUUGCAAUAUGUAAUUUGUAAACAGCAUAUGAUAUAAAAUUUUCGUGUUUUUUGCUGGCCCUCUUAUAAAUCACAGUAAAUCAAUGCGGCUCUUGGCCUUAACAAGUCUGUGCAUCCCUGUUCUACAUAAAAUCAUUUUAAAAUUCCUUCAUCUGCAUUGUAGAGUGGAACAUACGGAAGGAAAUUAAGAGAUUAGUUUUAUCAGAAAUUAAUUAAUGAAUAAAUAUUUUAUUUCAAUCAUAAAAUCGUGUAUUUGAAGGUAAAAUUAAAUAUUUUAAUUAUUCGUUCAUUCUAAAAAUCCUUUUUCAUAACAAAUAAUUUUAUUUCUUUUCUCUUUUCAGUGUGGACUACGAGAGGUAAAAUAUUUCAAUAUUUAAAAUUAGCAAUAAUAUUUUUAAAAAAUUAUAAUUUUAUUUUUAGGCAUAAAUUAUUUACAUAUAAUUUAAAAAGAAAUUAUGUCAUCAUCGUCACAGAUCAGUUAUUUUAACUAUUAAGUUCUAUGAAAAACUGUAUAUAUUGCAAAGUAAAAACUGAUUCUGAAGAAUACUCUUUCCAAUAAAUAGUACGGAUUUGAGUAUUGAUAUGGUCAGUGUGAAGUUGGCCCCGACUUUUCAAAUUGAAAACUGUUUCUUUUGCACUAGCUUGCACCUUUUGCACUGUCUGAUUUCCACUCUCACCAUUUAUUCUGCAGAAACAACAUAAAUUUGAUGGAUAACGUCACACCAUAGGUUAUUUUUAAUUAUUUAUUUGUAGUUGUUUUUGACGAUUAUUAGGCUAGCCACUUCAAAUUUCGAAAUUUUUAUUUUGCCAACGUUUAAUAUCGUAAGCAAUUUUUGAAAUUUCGAUUAUGAUCCUCACUGUUUGGCCCCAACGACAAAUUAAAAUCGGGAGGCCACUCCCACAAUUUGAAAUUUUCAAAUUCUUCUUUUCGCAAUAUUUCGCAAAUCUUUGGCAUUUUACAUAUUUUCAUUGUACUGUCAUCACUUAGAUUACAUAAUGAAAAUAUUGGAUAUGUUACUUUAAUUUAAUCGCUAAAAAUUAAAUUAAUCAAGAAAGAUUCCUCUGAUAAUGUCAAAAGCUGUUUUUAUAAAAUUAACCAUCGUAAUAUUUUAUAGGAAAUCGUUAUAGAAAAAUUUAUAACAAUUAUUAUAAAUUAUUUUGUUUGAACUACACGCAACUGACAUAGAAUUAAACGAAUUCUUCUGCUUGUUUGUAGGUAUUAAAAGAAAGAGUUCAGAAAGAGAAAGUAAGUAUUCAAUACACGGUGCGUUCGAAAAGUAACUAUACACCUAGA